rnacentral:rRNA from 1 species
GUCGAGAAUAAUUCACAAUGGACGAAAGUCUGAUGGUGCAACGCCGCGUGGAGGAUGACGGUCUUCGGAUUGUAAACUCCUGUCAUCCGGGAGUAAGACCUGGCUGUGAAUAGCAGACAGGGUUGAUAGUACCGGAAGAGGAAGGGACGGCUAACUUCGUGCCAGCAGCCGCGGUAAUACGAAGGUCCCGAGCGUUGUUCGGAAUCACUGGGCGUAAAGGGAGCGUAGGCGGCGUGGUAAGUCAGAUGUGAAAUCCCGGGGCUCAACCCCGGAACUGCAUCCGAUACUGCCGUGCUAGAGGAUUGGAGAGGUAGCUGGAAUUCGUGGUGUAGCAGUGAAAUGCGUGGAGAUCAAGAGGAACACUCGUGGCGAAAGCGAGCUACUGGACAAUAUCUGACGCUGAGGCUCGAAGGCCAGGGUAGCGAAAGGGAUUAGAAACCCGGGUAGUCC